GGACUACUGGGGUUUCUAAUCCUGUUCGCUCCCCACGCUUUCGUACCUCAGCGUCAGAAAAGGCCCAGCAAGCUGCCUUCGCCAUUGGUGUUCCUUGUAAUAUCUACGCAUUUCACUGCUACACUACAAAUUCCACUUGCCUCUGCCUUCCUCUAGGAACCCAGUAUGAGAUGCAUCGAUAUGGUUGAGCCACACGAUUUAACAUCUCACUUAAAUUCCCGCCUACGCACGCUUUACGCCCAGUGAUUCCGGAUAACGCUUGGACCCUACGUAUUACCGCGGCGGCUGGCAC
rnacentral:rRNA from 1 species